AGCAGUUGAGCCCAAGGCCACGUUUUCAUUUCCCGGAGCUCGCAUGUGGGCUGACCCAUUUCCUUGGGGGCCUAUCUUAUGAACCUGGCUCUGGCAUUGCUCUGUAAGGGAAUUUCAGAGAGCAGGGUCAUUUGAUCCCGGGGGACUCUCCUCCAGACCAUCUAUAGAAUGGAUUAGUUGAUGGACACCAGUCAUGAAGAAGCUGAUCUCUGAGAGAUGAGUAUGAAAAUGCACAUUGCUGGUAUCCAGCAUCUUCCGGCCUCAGGGCGAUGCCUGUUUCUUCUUGUUGCUUCUGCGUCUUUGUCAAGAAGUGUCCUUAGUCCCUGCACAGUGACAUAAGAGUUGCCGAUGCUUCCUCCAAGUCUCCUCAAGAUUGCUCUCCAUGUUGCUACAGUACCCUCUGCCACGGGCCAUCCCAGAGCACUCCCACGACAAGUGACCAUUGUGUAUUGGAACCGUCACUUGCUUUGCUUCUGCUGGACGCAAGCACUUACUUUGUUGAACUAAACUCAAUGGAUUGAAACUAUGAAGCUUAUCAAUACUAAGUAUUAAGUAGGUUUGGGUUCCAGAGACCAAGCUCAGGUUUUCAGGGCUGUGAGGCAAAUGCUUUGACCCACCGGGCUAUCUUGCUGGUCCAAAUAGAUGCAUUUUGCUACAGAUCAGCUGAGUUUUUACCCUUAACUUUCAAGAUACACUAUUUUUCAAGAUAGGUACACUUAAACACUUUGAAUUUAUAUUUUUUAAAGACUCAUUUAUUUUAAUACGCAUGGAGCUAGGCCUGCAUAUAUGUCUGUAUGUGGACAUCACAUCCCCUGGAACGGGAGUUACAGACAGUUGUGAGCUGCCAUGUAGGUGCUGGGAAUUGAACCCAGGCCCUCUGGAAGAGCAGCCAGUGCUCUUAACUGCUGAGUCAUCUCUCCAGCCCCUUGAAUUCAUAUUUUUAAAUUGUUCUCUAGGAAGAUUGAAUGUGACAUCGAGGUAGGUGUCUUUCUACAAAUUUAGCGAAGCAUGUCCUUCACCUCUGUCAGCAGUGGAAUGAUUCCCUGAAAGGUCCAGUCCUGUGAACUAGAGAAGCUAUGUCUGGACCAAGCAGCCUGACAUUUGCUUUUCUAGGCAGUGAAAUCUGAGAGAAGCAGGGAAGGAGAUUCUCGGUUUACCUCCAACUUUACGCCUGAUGGCUGCCGGUCGUGAUUUCCAUACCCACAACCCCUGGCUUUUUUGGAAAGCAUUUUGUUUGAUUCUAAUUUGGAAGAUCUUUUUUAAUUGGCUGACACCCUACACCAUUACUUUAUAUCCCUAGCUGAAAAAUGACAUUAAAAAAAAAUCCAUUUCCCUGAAAACCCCUCCGGUCUUGAGAUUAGUUCUCACCCCCGUGUGGAUCAUCACGGCUGCAGCUUCCUAAGGGAUUACUCACAUGAGCAAGAACAGUCACUCUGCAUGGAAAGAUUGAGAGCCGCUAGUCCGCGGAACCUAAUUUAGAAAUAACCUGCAAGCACUAGUUAGCGACUAAUGAAGGUUAACUGAGCCCUCCCUGGAGACCGUUCUCUCGGUCUAUCUAUAACUGCCAAGACUCUCUUUUACAUUUGUUACACCCAGGGGACCAGAAAGGAGAAUAAAGACCGAAGGGGGAGAGCAGUCAGCUGCUCGCUUGCUGCAUUCGCCUGCCCUACUUAGAAAGACAGCAACACAUACAUUGUCUGACCAGCUCUCUAGAUUAGAGCCCCAUCCCAAUGGUGAUUAUUAUCCACAAUUUAUUUAGUUGUUUCAUGUCAAAGUGAUGCAAGAGCAUAUUGAGCUGUAGAUAUUUUAAGUAAAUUCCUAUGGUAAAUUUUUUUGUGGCACAUUCCAAAAA
rnacentral:lncRNA from 1 species